AAGGCAAGGCCCUUGGCCGCGCCGACAGCAAUCUUCAUCCUUGUCAUCCACGGGAGAGAGCCAUUUGUGCCUGAAGGAAAUAGGAUGUUUCAGAUAGCAGCUCAUCUGUCCUCUUGACUUGGAGAAAAGAAACUUCAGGGGAGAAGAACAGCUCAUCGCUAACGGACCAGAUGGCACUCACAAAAAGCAGUGAAGAACUCACUUUUGAAGAGGUGCGUCUCGAGGCUUCCGGCGUUCAUGAACUCGUACACCAGCAUCCGGUGUUCGUCCUCG